GAUGAACGCUGACAGAAUGCUUAACACAUGCAAGUCUACUUGAUCCUUCAGGUGAUGGUGGCGGACGGGUGAGUAACGCGUAAAGAACUUGCCUUGCAGUCUGGGACAACGUCUGGAAACGGACGCUAAUACCGGAUAUUAUGAUUGAAUCGCAUGAUUUAAUUAUGAAAGCUAUAUGCGCUGCGAGAGAGCUUUGCGUCCCAUUAGUUAGUUGGUGAGGUAAUGGCUCAACAAGACGAUGAUGGGUAGCCGGCCUGAGAGGGUGAACGGCCACAAAGGGAAUGCGACACAGGCCUUACUCCUACGGGGGGCAGUAGUGGGGAAUAUUGGACAAUGGACCAAAAAUCUUGUCCAGGAAUUCUGUGUGGACGGUGAAGUUUUUCGGGAUGUAAAGUGGUUUUAGUUGGGAAGAAGAAAGUGACGGUACCAACAGAAGAAGCGACGGCUAAAUACGUGCCAGCCGCCGCCGUAA
rnacentral:rRNA from 1 species